AGGAACCAGAGUUUCAGCUGAACAGGAAAUGCUUUGAGGAGGAUUUACACUCCCACAUGUGUGAAAAGCGAUGGGUGGACCUCAGUAGGGCGGAGCAUCAGGCUCAAGCUCUGCGUUUACUGGACGGUCUGGAUGUGACCUGCAGAGUGAAACGGUUGAAGGUUGCCAGGGCUCUGCUCUACAUGGCACAAGGAACGUUUGCAGAGUGUAGCUCGGAGGUUGAGCUGCAGUAUUGGAUGAGGUAUAACGUAUUUCUGCUG